rnacentral:rRNA from 1 species
GAUGAACGCUGGCGGCGUGCCUAAUACAUGCAAGUCGAGCGAACGGACGAGAAGCUUGCUUCUCUGAUGUUAGCGGCGGACGGGUGAGUAACACGUGGAUAACCUACCUAUAAGACUGGGAUAACUUCGGGAAACCGGAGCUAAUACCGGAUGACAUUUUGAACCGCAUGGUUCAAAAGUGAAAGACGGUCUUGCUGCCACUUAUAGAUGGAUCCGCGCUGCAUUAGCUAGUUGGUAAGGUAACGGCUUACCAAGGCAACGAUGCAUAGCCGACCUGAGAGGGUGAUCGGCCACACUGGAACUGAGACACGGUCCAGACUCCUACGGGAGGCAGCAGUAGGGAAUCUUCCGCAAAGGGCGAAAGCCUGACGGAGCAACGCCGCGUGAGUGAUGAAGGUCUUCGGAUCGUAAAACUCUGUUAUUAGGGAAGAACAUAUGUGUAAGUAACUGUGCACAUCUUGACGGUACCUAAUCAGAAAGCCACGGCUAACUACGUG